rnacentral:rRNA from 1 species
CAGUCGUGCCUGUAGUUGCUCAUCCGAGCCUCCGCUCGGUGCACUCUUCUAUGGGCAGGCCAGCAUCAGUUUGGGCGGUCGGAUAAAGGCUUCGGGAAUGUAGCUCCCCUGGGGAGUGUUAUAGCCUCCUGUCACAUGUGCCGGAUUAGACUGAGGAACGCAGCUUGCAGCAAUGCCGGGUUCGCCCAGUACAAGCUUAGGAUGUUGACAUAAUGGCUUUAAACGACCCGUCUUGAAACACGGACCAAGGAGUCUAACAUAU